rnacentral:rRNA from 1 species
CAUUCGCGGGAGGGCUUCCAAUUCGAUGGAUGAAGAAAGACGUUGGCGUGCAGGGUACCUACACAUGCCCGUCGACACGUGUUCCAGGAAGCCGCUUGCAUAAGCUUUGCUGACGAGUGGCGGACUAGGUGCUAGUAAUCGUCUAAGGCUGAAGUACCUCAGCUCAACGUCUGAUGGUUAGGGGUGAUGACUGCGUGGAAUACGGUCCAGGCUAAUACCGCAUAGCGCUCGCAAGACGAAAGAGGGGGACCUUCGCGGUACCAUCUUGCACACAUCGGGAUGUGCAUUCCCGGUACUGCUGGAUUAGCUAGUAGGUGGUGGUAACGGCUCACCUAGGUCGACGAUCCCUAGCUGACCGUCUGAGAGGAUGACUCAAGGGACACUGGAUCUGGCGACACGUUGUUUCCUAUUCUCCUACGGGAGGCAACGCCGUGGGGAAUUGGGUUGCACAAGUGUUGCUGCACGCCUGCUGUCGGUCAUGCCGUCGUGUAUAGAAGCCUCAAGGCCUUCCGUGGUUAGGUACGAGCUACUUUCAGCGGGGAGGAAGGUGUUGAGGUUAAUAACCUCAUCAAUUGACGUUACCCGCAGAAAAAGCACCGGCUAACUCCGUGCCAGCAGCCGCGGUAAUACGGAGGGUGCAAGCGUUAAUCGGGAAUUACUGGGCGUAAAAGCGCUCGACAGGCGGGUCUGUCAACUCGAAUGUGAAAAUCCCCGGGGCUCUCCCUUGGGAACCUUCAUUCUUAUACUGGCGGGCCUAUACUCUUCGAUAGAGGGGGGUGUACAAUUCCGGGUGUAAGCGGUUUGAUAUUGCGUCACGAGCAUUUCGGGAGGGAUACCCGCUUGGCGAUAAGGGCCGGUCUUUCCUUCAGCUCAAAAGUAUAAGUUCCGCCUCGAAGGAUUGUACACGAACAGAGUGUGUGAGUGUGUGAGGUAUCAAUAGAGCGUGAGGUAUUAUAGUAUAAUCACUCAGCCCUGUAGUAGGUACAGCGCUGCACACACGAGGCCUCGUAGUAUUAUAGUAAUCGUAAUAAUUGUGUACCUGACGUACCUUUGUU